rnacentral:piRNA from 1 species
ACAGGGGAUUUCUGCUCUGUGAGAGGGAGU